rnacentral:rRNA from 1 species
GACGGAGGGUGCUAGCGUUGUUCGGAAUUACUGGGCGUAAAGGGCGCGUAGGCGGCUUGGAAAGUCGGAUGUGAAAGCCCGGGGCUCAACCCCGGAACGGCAUCCGAGACUUCUGGGCUGGAGACCGGGAGAGGUGGGUGGAAUACCCAGUGUAGAGGUGAAAUUCGUAGAUAUUGGGUGGAACACCGGUGGCGAAAGCGGCUCACUGGCCCGGUUCUGACGCUGAGGCGCGAAAGCGUGGGGAGCAAACAGGAUUAGAUACCCUGGUAGUCCACGCCCUAAACGAUGCGAGCUGGAUGUCGGGGGGCUUGCCCCUCGGUGUCGGAGCCAACGUGUUAAGCUCGCCGCCUGGGGAGUACGGCCGCAAGGUUAAA